rnacentral:rRNA from 1 species
GAUGAACGCUGGCGGCGUGCCUAAUACAUGCAAGUCGAGCGAACGGACGAGAAGCUUGCUUCUCUGAUGUUAGCGGCGGACGGGUGAGUAACACGUGGAUAACCUACCUAUAAGACUGGGAUAACUUCGGGAAACCGGAGCUAAUACCGGAUAAUAUUUUGAACCGCAUGGUUCAAAAGUGAAAGACGGUCUUGCUGUCACUUAUAGAUGGAUCCGCGCUGCAUUAGCUAGUUGGUAAGGUAACGGCUUACCAAGGCAACGAUGCAUAGCCGACCUGAGAGGGUGAUCGUCCACACUGGAACUGAGACACGGUCCAGACUCCUACGGGAGGCAGCAGUAGGGAAUCUUCCGCAAUGGGCGAAAGCCUGACGGAGCAAAGCCGCGUGAGUGAUGAAGGUCUUCGGAUCGUAAAACUCUGUUAUUAGGGAAGAACAUAUGUGUAAGUAACUGUGCACAUCUUGACGGUACCUAAUCAGAAAGCCACGGCUAACUACGUG